rnacentral:rRNA from 1 species
CUCAGGAUGAACGCUGGCGGCGCGCCUAACACAUGCAAGUCGAACGGCACCUAUCUUCGGAUAGAAGCGAGUGGCGAACGGCUGAGUAACACGUGGAGAACCUGCCCCCUCCCCCGGGAUAGCCGCCCGAAAGGACGGGUAAUACCGGAUACCCCGGGGUGCCGCAUGGCACCCCGGCUAAAGCCCCGACGGGAGGGGAUGGCUCCGCGGCCCAUCAGGUAGACGGCGGGGUGACGGCCCACCGUGCCGACAACGGGUAGCCGGGUUGAGAGACCGACCGGCCAGAUUGGGACUGAGACACGGCCCAGACUCCUACGGGAGGCAGCAGUGGGGAAUCUUGCGCAAUGGGGGGAACCCUGACGCAGCGACGCCGCGUGCGGGACGGAGGCCUUCGGGUCGUAAACCGCUUUCAGCAGGGAAGAGUCAAGACUGUACCUGCAGAAGAAGCCCCGGCUAACUACGUGCCAGCAGCCGCGGUAAUACGUAGGGGGCGAGCGUUAUCCGGAUUCAUUGGGCGUAAAGCGCGCGCAGGCGGCCCGGCAGGCCGGGGGUCGAAGCGGGGGGCUCAACCCCCCGAAGCCCCCGGAACCUCCGCGGCUUGGGUCCGGUAGGGGAGGGUGGAACACCCGGUGUAGCGGUGGAAUGCGCAGAUAUCGGGUGGAACACCGGUGGCGAAGGCGGCCCUCUGGGCCGAGACCGACGCUGAGGCGCGAAAGCUGGGGGAGCGAACAGGAUUAGAUACCCUGGUAGUCCCAGCCGUAAAC